rnacentral:tRNA from 1 species
GUCCUUAUAGUUUAAAAAAAACAUGGGUUUUGUAAACCUGAGAUUAUGCCUAUAUUAGGACU